GCCAGGUAUGGUGGUGCAUGCCUGAAAUCCCAGCUACUUGGGAGGCUGAGGCAGGAGAAUUGCUUAAGCCCAGGAGGCUGAGGUUGCAGUGAGCCGAGAUCAUGCCACUGCACUCCAGCCUGGGCAACAGAGCAAGACUCCGUCUCAA
ensembl:misc_RNA Metazoa_SRP Metazoan signal recognition particle RNA